CAGAUAUCGUCUCUUCUUUUGACCACUGUUCCUGAUUGUGGCUUUGUCCAAGCAUUAAAUUGCGUGCCUUUUGUUCCUUGAAGAAGGAGGUAUGGUAAAGAUUGAAGUAUUAUAGUAGUAGUCUAUUAAGCAGUAAGUUAAUAUGUUUUGAUAUGGGACAAAAAAAUAAGAGUUACGAGUUUUCAUAAGUUAUAGUUUUAUGUUUGGCUUAAAUAAAAAAUACAGAUUUCCUUUUAAUGUUGGCAGAAAAGGUAGUUUUGGUUUCCUAGUUUGUUAUUUAACAUUUCAUUAGAAAUCUAAAGAUAAUUUAAGCUGUAUUUUUCUAAACAUAAAGACAACAUUAAGGGCUUCUGGGUAAUGAACGAUGGAGACAUAUAUGGUAGGAAGAUGUUUUGAAGUUGUAUAAAUGACCAGAAGAGUGUUUGUGUUUUGCUCUGGUAAGUGUAAAGUAAUGCUCCUAAAAAAAACCCCCGAUAUUUAUAUCAUGAUUAACGGUAUCUACAUUAUGAAUCAGGAAAGAUAUUUGGGAAUCACUGUGGAGUUAUGACUUGUUUCCUGAAGGCAAUCAUCUGAACAUCCUGGUGUGAACAAAAAGAAGGGGGAAAAUCUGCCAUCGAAUCCAUGGUAUUGUAAGGAAAGCUUUGCAAACUCAGUGGAAAAUAUUGUACUCUUGUACAAAAAUACAGUUUAUCUACCGUGGAAGCACAGUUUUUCUUGCUGUUUGUUUUGGGUAGGUACUGAGAUACCACAGUAUUAUAAUUCCCCUCACCAAAUGCAAUAAGUAUACCCAGAAACAUAACUCUAAAUUAGAAAUAAGAUUAUGUACGGGACACCCGGGUGGUUUAGUUGGUAGAGUGCCCGACUUCAGCUCAGGUCAUGAUCUCACGGUUCACGAGUUUGAGCCCCAUGUCAGGCUCUGUGCAGACAGCUCAGAGCCUGGAGCCUGCUUCGGAUCUCUCUCUGCCCUUCCCCAGCUCACUCUGUCUCUCUCUCUCUCCCUCUUUCGAAAAUAAAUAAACAUUAAAAAAAAUAAGAUUAUGUAUAUAACUACUAAAAAAGUGGAAGAGGACUAUACCAACUGAAAUUAUUACUUUACUAAUCAUAACCAUGUUUUGCCAUGAGUUUUACUAGCAGAUGGUUUUCUUUUCAGGGUCAUUUUUCACAAAGGCAGGAAUGUUUUAUUUUAUUAGAAGUUAAUAUCUAACAACUACAGUGAGUACAAAGCAACAAAGCUUAGAUACCAGGUUAUUAUUUAUGUUCAUUUAUAUGUGUAAUUUCUUCCUACAUAACAAUUGUUUGACCUCUAACUGAAUUAGGUUUGCAUGGGUACUGUGUUGUUUUCUGAAUAAAGUAAAUGCUGAGUGCUAAAAAUUUUCUUUACUGUGUUUGAUCCAAAAUUCUCAGAAGAAGUUACACAAUGAAGAGUGAGAACUUCAAAUGUAAUGAAGUAAACAAGAGGCUGCUGUAUGAUGACUUACCAAAAUGAUUUGGAUUAUUCCAUCUUGAAAAAUUGUGAGCAGAGUCUGACUAAAUUUUAAAUUUACUUUUUAUUUUUUUAAGUUUACUUACUUAUUUUGAGAGAACACGUGAGAGAGAGAGAGAGAGAGAGAGAGAGUGCAAACAGGGAAGGGGGCAGACAGAGAGGGGGAGAGAGAGAAUCCCAAGCAGACUCUGCACCUUCGCAAGGAGCCUGAUAUGGGACUCGAACCCAUGAACCAUGAGAUCAUGACCUGAGCCAAAACCAAGAGUCAGGCGUUUAACUGACUGAGCCAUCCAUGUGUCCCUGACUAAAUUUUAAAAUCGUGAUCGGUAUGACUGCAUGAAAUAGGUAUCAGAAUUAAGUUGCAUGACUUGAAGCUUAGGAUAAUUAAGUAGGUCUCACGUGGGUCUUAUUUUAAGAAGUGGUAAUAGCCAAAAACAAAUAUUGGCUUUGUGGAAAGUCUAGUAAGUGCAAAAUGUGGUAAAAUCGUCACCAAUUCCUAAUUAAAAUUGGGUUGUUAGAGGUUAUAGCUGGUAGAAAAAAAUUAGGCAUAUAUAUGUUUUUGUUGACCUUGAACAAUGUGGGGGUAGGUAGAUUUCCAAUUCCAUGCAGUUGGAAAUCUGUGUGUAUUCUUUUGACUCCCCUAAAAUUUAACUGCUAUAAGCCUUCUGUUGAUUGGAAGCCUUACUGAUAGCAUGAACAGUUGAAUAACACAUACUUUGUAUAUGUGUUAGAGGCUGUGUUCUUAAAAUAAAUGAGGAUAAAGUAGGCUAGAGAACAGAGAGUGUUAUUAAGAAAAUCAUAAGGAAGAGAAAUAUAUAUUUGUAGUACUGUAUUGAAAAAAAUCUGUGCAUAAGUGGACCUGUGCAGUUCAAAGCUGUGCUGUUCUAGGGUCAGCUGUAUGCUAAUUUGCUCAACUCCGUACCUCUUCAUUUGGGGAAUCAUCUCUUCGCCUAUCAUGUGUGGUUGAUAGGCUGCCUGUCAGUCGUAUACUCUUAUAACCCAAACCUAGUCAUCCCUAUUGCAACAGUGAUUGCGUAUUGAUCCAGCAGAGCCAAUUAGAAUCCUGUGACAUUGAUGUAUGAAUGCUAGGAGAAAGAUGCUCCCUUUUUUUCUGAAGUUAUUAAUCUGGGUGUUAGUAGGAUUCUUAUUAAUUAAUUCAGAUUAACUCUUAUUAAUCUGGGUGUUAGUAGUAGGGUGUUAGUGCAUUCUUUCCCACAUGUAUAAGAACCCUAUAUGUAGUAGGAGAAAGUGAAACCAUAAAUAAAUGGGAGAUAGGUUGAGGUAGCAUGCCAAUUUCAGUUCCAGGGACUGUGGUAUGAGAUAUCUAUGGUUUUCUUUUGAUUCUGUCAGCUACCGUGGUGUCCUUUCCAGUCCCAUGAGCCAAAAUUUUAUAUAUAAAUUAGUUUGAAUUGGAUUGCAGCAGAAAAUGUUCUGAUGAAUGUUUGGCCCUUAUGAAUUUAAGGUCUAUAGCUUCAAGUUGACCAUGUCCAUCUACAAUUUGCCCUUUUCUUCCACCUUAUGAAGAAUGCCCAUUAUUCAUUCAUCAUUCAUGUAUACAUUUAGUCCUUCAUUCAACCUACAAACAUUUGUUGAGUGUCUACUAUGUACAAGUAUGUGCAGCUGCCUGGAUAGUCAAGGAUUGUACCUACUUGCUGAGGAUGAUGGACUUCCUUUAAUGUAGCACAUUUUUAUAUACUUAGGUUACACAGGUCAACAAGAGUGUGAUGAGAAUAAUCAGUGCUGUGCUCAGCAUUUUAGUAAUAUGAAAGAAUAAAAGGAAUUGUUUGCCUUCAAAGUGUUUACAGUUUAGUUAAGGAAUCCAGAUUAAUGUGUAUGAAAUGACACAAACAACAGGUAAAUGCAUAUACAUUCAUGUAGUCUGGAUAUUAAAUCUGAGUUCUGAUAGAAAGGAAAUUAGUGAGGGCUAGAAGGUUUCUUCAAGGAGGUAUGAGCGCAAAUAAGUUUUAACUUAUGAGUCAUUUUGAUAGGCACAGAAUAAUUGAGGAAAGGAUGGAGUUGAAAAUGACUAAGGACUGAUCCAAGAUAGGGAGGAGAUUGGUUUGACUGUAACGGUUUGUAUUUUGGGGAAAUGAGAGGUAGUGAUAAUAAGGUUGACUAUUUUAGGUAAAUCCACGUAUGAGGCAUUUGGAAAGCCAAACAAAUUUUAUUUUCUGUUAAGGUGGAGAUUGCUUUGAAUAAAAUGUUUAUAUUUCUUUGAUGCCAUUUUUGUGAUGCUAAGGUGCAAAAUAAGUGUAAUCAAGUGAUGGAAAUUUACUUGUUGUGGAAAACAACUUGUUAUAUUUUCUGCCUUGGAAAUUUUUUAUUUUUAUUUAAAAAGAUUUUUUUUAACAUUCAUUUUUGAGAUAGAAAGAGUGAGCGUGGGAGGGGCAGAGAGAGAGGGAGAGACAGAAUCUGAAGCAGGCUCCAGGCUCUGAGCUGUCAGCACAGAGCCCUAUGCGGGGCUCAAACCCACAAACCGUGAGAUCAUGACCUGAGCCAAAGUUGGAAGUUUAACCGACUGAGCAAUGCAGGCACCCCUGCCUUGGAAAUUUUUUAAAAACAAUCAUUAAUUUGCGGUGUUGUUCUGUUUUAUACAUAUUAUACACAUAUAUAUAAAAUUGGUUUCUUUUUUCUUACCUGCCCCUUUUUGAGAGAUCCCAUAGUAACAGUGGCAUAACCAUACCCUUCCUCUAGAGAAACAGCCAGUUCAAAACUAACGUUGCAAUAGAUGUAAAAGCAUUCUGAAAGAGAUAAGGAAUUAAAUUAAUGUUUGAUUGCUCACAUAACAAUUGUUUUGAGCUCCAGAUACUAGGAAUGAUGUAUAGGUUAAUGUGUCAUUCUUUCAUUAAAUGCUGUUGUUAACUUCACCCUUUUUCAGUAACCAGUUAGCUGAUAUUCAACUCAAGAGAAUUAACAUUUGGAACAUUCCUGUAUACCAGGGUUGGCAGACUUUUGCCGUAAAUGGCCAGGUAGUAUAUAUUUUAGGCUUCGUUGGCAGUAUGAUCUCUACACCUAUCAGCUGCUGUUGGAACACGAUAGCAGCCAUAGACCAUAUGUAAAUGAACAAGUGUAGCUAUGUUCUAAUGAAACUUAAUUUACAAAAAGCAGCAGGCCACAUUUGGUGCACAGGGUGUUGGUGUGGACCACCUGUCAUAGAUUUAAUGAGACAUUUUAUGCCACAGCUUCUCAUAAUCGGAUCUUCCCACUAUCUUCCUCUCUAGUAACUAUGGAUCAGUUAUCUUUAUUAUUUUCUAAGUUUACCUCUCCUACUUGUUCACUUUUUUUUCCUUCAUCAUCACUUCUUAUCUUUCUGUUAUAUCAUUUUCAUAAGCACGUAAUCAUACUGUAAUUUCUCCCAGUUUAAAAAAACAAACAAAAAAUAACUCCAUUUCAAUUCCUUUGUCUUUUGGCCUUUUAUAGUAAAACUCCUUAAAAGGGUUGUCUCCCUUUUAUAGUAAAACUCCUUAAAACGGGGCACCUGGGGGGCUCAGCUGUUUGGGCGUCUGACUUGAUUUCAGCUCGAGUCAUAAUUUCACAGUUUGUGAGAUUAAACCCAUGAAUUAUUGUUAACAUGUCUCUGCUGGUGAUGUGGAGCCUGCUGGGGAUUCUCCCUCCCUUUCUGCCCCUCCCCUGAUUGAGCACGCUCUCUCUCUGUCAAAAUAAAUAAACAUUAAAAAAAAAAGUUAUCUGUACUGCAUCUAUAUCUCCCUUUUUUUCCUCCCAUUUUCUCCUAAAUCCAUGCUAGUCAUCCCUUCUAUAUAACCCCACUGAAACCAUUCUAAUCAGUGUCACCAAUGGUCUUGACAUUAAGUCCAGUGGUCAAUUCUCAGUCCUCAUCUUACUUGAGAGAGUUGAUCAAUACCUGAUCCUGGAAACACAUUGUUCACUGCUUUCAGGACACCACUCUCUUUACUUACCUCAUUGGUCAUUCCUUUCAUCCUUACCAGCUGGUUCUUUCUCCUCUUUUUCCUGUAAAUGUUGUAGCAUCUUGAGGCUCAGGCCUUGGACUUCUCUCUUUGUGUACUUACCCCUUGGUGAUUUCAUUCAAUUCUAUAUACAUGAAUACAUACACACACCAGUGAUUCCCAAAAUUUUAUCUUACAUCCAGACCUCCAUAUUCUGUAUUCAGCUACACAUCCACAUUUCCACUUGGCUGUCAGCUAGAUACCUGAAAUUCCACUAAAACUGAACUCUUGAUAUAUAUUUUAUACUUAUUGUUCCCACUCUGUCUUUUCUGUAUUAAUAAAUAGCAGUUCAUUUCUUCAUUUGCUGAAGUUGGAACUUUGGGAGUUAUCCUUGACAUGUCUCUUUCUCACAGACCAAACGGAGUCUGUCAGCAUAUCCUUUGGCUCUAUCUUCACAGCAUAUCCACGGCCUAACCGUAUCACAUUCUCUCCACCAAGCCACCGUCAUCUCUGACCUGGAUGUUGUAGUGUAAUUAUCUCCAAAGUGGUCUUCUUGCUUUUACUCUUACUUCCUUCCCAAAUACUUUGUUCUUAACAUUGUAGCCAAAGUGAUCUCUAAAAAAUAAUUCAGCUUAUGUUACUUCUUUACCCCAAAUGUUCCAGUAGCUUUUCAUCUUGUUUAUAGUAAAACCAAAGUCCUUGUAGUAUCCCUCAGGCCUUGUGUCAGUUCCCUCAUUACUUCUUUGACGUCAUCUCCUACUGCUUUCUUCCCUGUGCUGUUUUCUUGUUCUAGGCCUACCGACCUUGCUCUUCUCUGAACAUGCUAGGGACGCUCCAUACUCAGGGUGUUAGCACUCAUUAUUUCUUUUCUUGGAAUGCUUUCUGCCUCAACGUUUUAAGAUCUUGGCUUAAAUAAGACUUUUUCAAAUGAGGGCUACCUGACUUCAUAUUUAAAAUUGCAACUCUGAAUUCUGCCUAUUUUUCACCAUAGGUAUUUAUCACCUUUGAAUAUGUUACACAUGUCAUAUGUAAUAGGAAUUUACUUAUCUUGUUUAUUAUCUAAAUAGCUAGUAGAGUGUUAUGUCCGUGAGGGGAGGGGUUUUUGUCUGUUUUAUUCAUUGCUGUAUUCUCAAUACUUAGAACAAAGACUGGCACAGAUUUGGUGCUAGCUACAUGCCCAACACUAUGUCAGAUGCUGGUGGUAUAGCAAAAAACAUGACAGAUGUGUUCCUUAUACUUAUGCAGUUUUUAUUUCAGUGGUAACGACAGAUAGAAAAUAAAUUGUCAAAUAUAUAAAAUAUUGCCAGAGGAAAAAAAAGUGUUAUAAAAAAGAAAUACAAGGAGCUUAGAGAAUAAUAUUUUUCUGGUUGAGAAGCAACGCUUUAUAUGUUGGGGAGACCCUUCUGAGGUAAUGACAUCUGAGCUGAGACCUAAAAGAUGAGAAAGAUCUAGGCAUUUGAAAACUAGGAGAAAGACCAAUUCAAUUCAAGCAGGGAACAGCAGGUGCAAAGGUCUGAGAUAGGAAAGGAGUAUUUGAGGAACUGAGAGGCUAUCUGUGGUAGCUUGCUGGAGUGCAUUUACAGAUGAGGAAAUUGGUAUGAGGUGAAGUUUAGGAGAGAGGUCCAGGACCAGAUGUCACUGCUCCUUGUAAGUCUUGGCAGAGAUUAAAUUUUGUUUUAAGUGCUUUGGGAAGCCACUGUAGAUUUUAAAGCAGGGAGCGUUGUGAUCUAUUUUAUAUUAAGAUCACGUUUGCUCCUGUGUGGAGAAUGGAUUCACAGGAAGGUGGUGGGCAAGAGAGAAGCAUGAAUGCCAGUUAGGUUAUUUUAAUCCAAGUUAUAGAUGGCAGUGGACUGAGAAGAUGGUGGUGGAGGUGGAGAGAAUUCAAGAUGUAUUUUGGAGAUAGAAUUGACAGGACUUGCUUAUGGAUUAGUGUGGGAGUAAGAGAAAGAAGGCGCAGAAUGAUUCCUUCACUUCUGGGAUGAGUAACUGGAUGGAUUGCGGUGCCAUGUUACUAUGGUGGGGCAGCCUGGGAAGUGGAGUUUGUUUCUGUCCUUGAGGCAGGUGCUUUAUAGAGCCAGAGAAAAAUGAAAUAGUUUAUAUUGUUUUGAGAAGCAGAGGGGAAAUGGAUUACAUGUUGAUACAUGUUCUCCCAAUCGAAUAGCCAUAAAUCUUGAUUCCCCCCCCACCAUGUGUUCCAAAAUCUUAAGUAAACUCUGCCUACUCUGAGUUACUGCCACAACAAAAUGACAAAGAAGAAAGGCACGAGAGAUGAAAUAACCUUUCUCCUUCCCAUACUAAAUUUGGUGGUCUUUAUUUCACUUUGGAUAGAUUACUUUGAUUUUUCUCCCAAUUCCUACAUAUUGAAAAUGUGAUUUCUGACCAUGUGAGAGAGAACGUGCACGUGCGCGUGAGCUUGUGUGUGUGUGUUUAAAUCAAAUUCCAUUGCAGCAAAAAAAGUUUACGUGAUCUGUAAUGUUUGCUAUUUGCUAUAAAGUCAUUUAAUCUGAAAUCACAGGAAGUCAGAUAUUUGGGUUGCAAAUAAAAGAAUGAGUCGGGAGUGUGUUAGGACCCUGUGUACCAAUCAUCUUGACUUUCGUGAGGCAUAAAUGAAAAAUAUAAAAUAGAACUUCUCUUUAAGGGAGGUAAAACUUAAAAAAUGAAAUGAUGUAACUAUAAACCAGUGUAAUGAAGUGGUGAACAAUGGCUGUACUUUAAAUGGAUAUGCAGAGAAGGGAGAGAUUAAUGUGUAUUGCAGAAGGUUUCGUGUGCCUAUAGGAGGUAGAAUUAGACAGGAAGUUUGACUAGUAUGGAAUGAAGAUAGAAGGGGAUGACAAGCCUGGUGAGAGGAAGCAGGAUGAACAAAGAUAAAUAAAAGUGUAUGUGUAGGUAGUGGAUAGCAUCUUAGAUAUUGGGCACUGUACCUUAUGGAUAAUGAGCAGUCAUCAUCUCAGUAAUAAGAAAUAAGAUUAAGGGGUGUUUGGUGGCUCAGUCGGUUAAGUGUCCACUCUUGAUUUCCGCUCAGGUCAUAAACUCGAGGUUUAUGGAAUCGAGCCCGGUGUAGGACUCUGCGCGGACAGUACAGAGCCUGCUUGGGAUUCUUUCUCCCCCCACUCUCUGCCCCUCCCCUGCUCAUGCUCUGCCCCUCCCCUGCUCAUGCACAGAGAGCAUGACAGCUCUCUGUCUCUCUCUCUCAAAAUAAAUAAAUAAGCUUUAAAAAAAAAAAAGAUGAACCUGAACUGCUUCUGUAUUUUAAUUUUUCCAUUUUGUACUCCUUCAUAAUUGUAUCAGUGUCACUAGCCUACCUGAGUGGUACAUGGCUCACAUGUAUUCUCGCAUUUUGAACAUUUCUGAAUCUGUACUUCCUUACAUCUGCAUAUUUAACUCUUUAUUUUUCUUUUCUGUUUAAGUUGUUUAUUAGGCCACAAAGAUUUGGAGGGAGCUGGCUUUUAUUAUGUGUGUAUAUGUAUACAAUAUGUAUGUGUAUAUAUACAUAUAUAUACAAAAUAGAUACACAUACACAUAUAUAUGUAUUAUAUAUGUGUAUGUAUAUAUAUAUAUAUAUAUAUAUUCUACAAAAUUUAUUCUUUCACUUGUUUAAAAUAUGAUAGGUAUUAGGGGCGCCUGGGUGGCUCAGUCGGUUAAGCAUCCAACUUCGGCUCAGGUCAUGAUCUCGCGGUCCGUGAGUUCAAAACCCCGCGUCAGGCUCUGUGCUGACCACUCAGAACCUGGAGCCUGUUUCAGAUUCUGUGUCUCCCUCUCUCUCUGACCCUCCCCCCGUUCAUGCUCUCUCUGUCUCAAAAAUAAAUAAACGUUAAAAAAAUAAAAAUAAAAAUAAAUAAAAUAUGAUAGGUAUUAUUAGCCCUGUAGGUGAACUUUUUAAAAACUUAAAAAACAGCUAUAAAAAAAACUAAGCCCAGAGUCUAUGUUUCAAGUCAUGAAAAGAUUAUUGUUUUGAAGGCGUUAUAUGGUUCUGCUUUGAAAAUAUGUUUUAGGGUUUUUUGUGUUUUCUUCUAGAUCCCUUUUAGACAGAACUUUACAUUUUUUCAGUAAGCUCUACUGAUGCAUGCUGCUUUUGUUUUACCUCUAGUUAUAUAUUCAUAUGACUGUUUUGAAUUCAGUUAUCUCUGUAGAAAAAAUUUGGUGAUUCAAGGAAUGAAAUUGUUAUACAAAAUAAUGACUAAUUAUAUUAGUCUUUCUAUCUGUGUAAUGUGACAAGUUAGGUUACAGAGCUACAUGCUAAGUUACAAAUGGGGCAAAGCUAAAAUCAGAAUUUUUUAGUUCUUUGUUUACUGUUUAAGCAACUGGAAUGUAAUAAAGAGCAUAUAGAUUCUUCCUUUUUAUACCAUUUCAAUAAAGCUAAAGACUGUAAAAUGUCUUUGCUUUUUAGUCUGUUGUAGACAGCAAACGAAACUCUAAGAAUGACGCUUUUUGAUUUAUUCUAUUCAAAUGUUCUUUAUCCUUGGUGUUUUACUUUGGGAAUCAUUUUUUUAAAAUUUUUCUGUGUGUUUCUUAAUAUGCAAACACUGCCAGUUCUGUGGUUCCUUACUCUUUAUGUGGAUUGUCACUUAGUUCUCUGAUUUUCCAACUUCUAUUUUUACUGUCUCCAAUAUAUCUUGCUUUCUAGUAGCAUUCUAAUAAUAUUUCUAAAAUAGUGCCUUUAUAACUUCUCUCUGCUCAUGGGCUAGCCAUGGCUCCUGGUUACCUUUCAUUUCAAGUUCAAAUCUGUCCUCUGUAGUCUGUUCUCACUUAACCUCCCUAUUAUACAUUUUCUCUGUGAUCUCAAUCCUGCAGUGCCAUGAGAGAAAAAUGCCUUUCUUCAGUGUUACUCCAUUUUUCUGGUCUGGAUAGCCUUUGCUCCUUUCUUGCAAGUUUAAGUCCUUUCCUCUUUAAAGGAUCAUCACAAAACCUACCUUUCUGUGAAUUAAAUGCAGUCAGCAUUGAUCUAUCAACUUAAUGCCUUAAGAGUCUUUAGUUACAAGUAAUAAAACUAGCUUAAGCUAGUUUAAGUUAGGGUAAUCUGAAAAGGAGGAAUUUAUCUUAAGGAUACAGAUUUCCUAGAAUUCAAGGGCAAGAAUAGAUGCAGGCCGCAGUAAAGCCUUGGUGGUAGUAACAUUGCCCUCUUGGUUCACUCUGGAGUACUUACGAAAGCUGAUGAUUCUCUCCCUGCUGUUUGGGUACGUUUGUCUUCUGUUAUGCCAUGCUGUCAUUCCCUAAAAGAAAUUAAUAUGUUGUCAGUAGUUUAGGACGUAUCUUUCUAUAGAUUUGUCUAUGCUUAUGCAAACAUACCCUCAUACUAUCUUUUCUCCUGACAUGAAAAUGGGGAUCUUUCCUCCUAAUUUAAAAAUGUAUUAUAUGCCGUCAUCUGCAACUUCCUUUUUUAAAAACAAACAAAAAAAUUCACAAUGAAAUCAAUUCAGUACGUACAUCUUUUUGUUUAUAAUGUUUUCGUGUGGAUGGAUGUUGCAUAAUUAAUCAUUUUCCUACAAAUGAACAUUUAAGUGAUACCGAUACAUAUGUUGUACUUUUAUUUAUGUAAGAUGGAUUGUUAAAAGUGCAGUUUAUGGGAGUAUACUUAGACAAUGUGUAGGAAAUUUAUCAUUUUCAAGGAAAAUAUAAAUUGCCUAAAGUGGCUCAAGCAGUGGAAACCCUGAAGAGCCCAGAAACUGUAGAAGAGCUUGCAAAGGUUGGAAGGCCUAAAAUCUAAAGAGGUACCAGGCCCAUGUGGUAUUUUUGGUGCAAUCGUGUAAUUUUAAGGAGUAGGCAAUUUUCAUGUUUAGUGAACUAAUUCCAGAGGAGAUGAAAUUGUGGAAAUUAUUCCGAUUUUAUUUUACAUAUUCUCCAUAAUGCCAACAUCAAAACUAUUAAAGAUAGCAGAAAAUUCUGAAUAAAAUUUUGUCAGGUCAAAACCAGCACUUUAUUAAAGAAAAAUAUGCUUAACUAAUGUAAAAACAGUUCAACAUUAUACUUGCUGUUCAUUUCAUUGUAUAGUAUACAGGUUUCCUUCACUAUCUGAAACAAGAGUGGUCCUAUGAAACCUUUUGUAGGCUGAAAAUGGUAUAAAGUGAAGAAACAAUUACCAUUCCUUUAGGUGGAAAAGUUUUGGGUGUUCUCAGAGCCAAAAAAUAACCUUAGUCUUAGGCUUUUCUGAUAUCUUGAGGCAUAUCUUGUUGGUGGAGGCAGAAAUAAUUGCGAUAAAAGCACAGAUGCUCACAAACACAGUUCAAAGCUAUGGCCAUGUUGAAUGCUGACAUGUUGAUUUGUAGUUCCUGGGGAAGGAGCUUGGUGGUGCCACUCACUGCUUGGGGUGUGCACUGCCUCUAUAAGAGCUCGCUGCGAACAAAGGCUGAAAGCUGUUUCUGCUCUUUACCUUUUGUGUAAAACCAUGUCUUUUGGUCAGCAAAAACAUACUAAUGUAGGUCUUGUAAGUGAAGUGGCAUAAUGCAAACUUUUUGAAAAGUGAACUUUCAAAAAGCAGGGGAUACCUGUAUAAAAAGAAAUAGUUGAAUUUAGAUCGUUACAGUUUUUCCUAUUUCUUUAUCUUUUUUCUUUUUAAAAAGUUUUUAUUAUUUUUUUAGUGUCUUUCUUUUAACAGUGUAUUGAGAUCAGGAAGCAUAUUGGUUGAUUACCAUUUGUUUUCUAUGUAAAAUACAUAAAACUUCUUAUGAAUGUAUAACUGCAUUUGUAAUUGUUACUCUGGUAGUGCCAACUUUUUUACUUUUUUAGGUAACAUCAUGGCUCACAAAUUCUUAAAUAAGCAAAAAAUUGCUUCUCAAUAGCAUGAAUUUAUAUACCAUGAGUGACCUCUAAUAGCACGAUUUUAUAUUCUUUGAGCAUUAUGUUUGCCUCCAAGUUUAUGGCUGUUAUACAGUCUUUUCUGCAGAGGUGUGAUUGGGUACUUGUGUACUGAUGUGAGGAGUGUAGUGUUGAAUGAUACCUAUUUUGUUUUGAUUUCCACCGUUUAGUGUCUACAUCCCACAAUUUUGUGCUGGCAUCAGGUUUGUUCAGAAAAAACUCAGUUGGUUUAUGGCAGAAUUCACUUGCUUUGUUUGAGAAUUUCAAAAUUUUCGUGGCUUCGUACCACUUUUUGAUAAAGUUUCAUAACUGUGGUCUAGACGCAAAGAGGUCAUUCUCCUCACAUCAAAAUGUAAGCUGUUUGCUUAUGCUGUGAUAAGGAGGUAUGCCAAUGUGGAGGCCGUAGUGAUCCAAGGACAACAUUUUAAGAAACAGUGACUUAGGAUACACUAGUAAUCACUAUAAACAUUUUUAUGUGUGUAUUCCUGACUUCUUACUAUGAGUCUGUAUGGGUCUAUGUCUCUUCUGUAUACACCUAUUAAUUUUUGAGCAGAUUAAACCCUAAUAUGUCUACUGUUUGUUUCUUGUUUUUUUUUUUCAUUGAAUGCAUCUUGGAUCUCUUCCUAUCAAUAAAUGUAGGUUUGCAGUAUUGUUUUUUUAAAAAAAAUUUUUUUUUUCAACGUUUAUUUAUUUUUGGGCAGAGAGAGACAGAGCAUGAACGGGGGAGGGGCAGAGAGAGAGGGAGACACAGAAUCAGAAACAGGCUCCAGGCUCCGAGCCAUCAGCCCAGAGCCUGACGCGGGGCUCGAACUCACGGACGGCGAGAUCGUGACCUGGCUGAAGUCGGACGCUUAACCGACUGCGCCACCCAGGCGCCCCAUGCAGUAUUGUUUUUAAAACAAUAAUAUUCCAUUAAAUGAAAAUACUAUAAUUUAUUUAUUUUACUAUUUUCUUUAAUCUUUUUUUUUUUUUUUUUCCAACGUUUAUUUAUUUUUGGGACAGAGAGAGACAGAGCAUGAACGGGGGAGGGGCAGAGAGAGAGGGAGACACAGAAUCGGAAACAGGCUCCAGGCUCUGAGCCAUCAGCCCAGAGCCCGACGCGGGGCUCGAACUCACGGACCGCGAGAUCGUGACCUGGCUGAAGUCGGACGCUUAACCGACUGCGCCACCCAGGCGCCCCUUUAAUCUUUUCUUUUUUAAAAAGCUUAUUUAUUUUGAGACAGAGAGUGCGCGCACACACACAACUAGGGGAGGGGCAGAGAGAGAGGGAGAGAGAAUCCUAAGCAGGCUCCCCACUGUCAGCGCAGAGCCCGAUGUGGGGCUUGAUCUCACAAACCAUGAUAUCAUGACCUGAGCUGAAAUGAAGAAUUCGACACUUAACUGACUGAGCCAUCCAGGCUCCCUGUGAAAAUACCAUAAUUUACUUAUUGGUGGACAUUUUGUUAUUUUUGAUUUUGUGAUUUUGUAAGCGAUGCUGCAAUGAGCAUGAUUAUUACCAUUAAGAUACCUUUCUAGAAGUGAAUCAGUAGUUCUAUACUUGCUUUCCAGUUGUGUAUAGAUUUAUAUUUUCUUGUAUAUUAAAAAAUAUAUACUAUUGUGUAUGUAACUAUAUGUAACAUAACUAUGAAUUGUUUAUAAUAAAUAUAAAUGAAUAUAUUACAUAGCAAACUGUUCUUUGUAAAGAUUGUAUCAUUAGUAUAUCAUAGUGACUCUGUUACUAGAAAAUGAAAUUUUAAAAACGAAGGCAUACAAAAUACAAGUCAAAAUGUUUAUUAUUCGAUUCAACAGAUAUGAAUUUAACUCAGUUUGCUACAGUAGUUUCUAAAUGCUUACUCUCAGUUUCCAUACAUAUGUCGUCAUGGACUAGUGACAGAUGUUUUAUGGACCAUCGGCAGGACCAUAUUUUUAGUAGCACUAUUUUAUUUUGGCCUAGGAGUCAACGUAGAAGGGGGCAAAAGAGGCUGGGGUGAGGUUUAUAUUUCAUCCAUAUACGGUCAUUUAAUCCUCUUGCUUUUGAUAUGGUACCCACUCUCUCACCUGUGUCUGGUAUCCCCUGUUUAAGAGAGUGUGUUUACUUUUUGCAGAGAAUAAACUGCUGCUGUGGUGGGGAAAUAGCAGUUACCUAGCCUGGAGUGAGAAAGGGAAUCUUGGCAUCAAACCAGAACUCAAGCAGCUUUCUCCAAAUUUCUCUUUGUUUUAGCUUUCUCCUCCCUUCUUCCCAUUUCAUAGUUACUUUGUACUGCCAGUUCCUAAGCCUUUCAAAGAUUCAGAGUGUAAAAUAGGUUAGUUCUUAGCUUUCGCCACUGUCUGUCUGGGAUUCAGUUUUCUUGGGUCUGCAGGGUCAUUUACUAAUUUUUCUGCUUUCCAGCAUUUAGGAAGUUGUUGCUAUUGUCAUGUUUCCUGUUUCCUAUUAAUUUUUCUUUAAGGACUCCUUACCUAUUUGUCAUGUUGUGAAUGUGCCCCUCCUCUAGUUUUUUUUUGCUUUUCUUAACUAUUAACAAAAUAUUUACUUUUAUUUCUAUUUUGUAGAUUUUGUUCUUGACAGAUAUUUCUUCUAUAACACAUUAUUCCUUUCUUUUAGUCCUUGUUUUUCUGAUUGAAAUUUGAUUUUGCUGAAGUAUUUACUUGAAACUUUAUUCCAGAAAGAGUACAUGUAUAGCGUAUUCUCUAAAUCAUUUUGCACAUCUAAAAUUGUGCUUUUCCCUCAUGCAUUUUCCUAGGUAUAGAAUUAAUUCUUUGGUUAAUCAGUUUUCCUCAGAACUCUAUAUAUUCUAACAUUUAGAAUUGUGACUAAAAUGUCUGAUUAAUAUUAAUUUCUGCUUAAAGUUGGCAUUGUUGAUGAAAAAUCAGAUACCUUUUUAGAUAAUUCUCCCUCUACCUUUUUUUUUGUAGCAUUUCAUUUUUUCUUUUUAAACUCAAAAAUUUGACUAGGAUAAGUUGUAAACAUUGAGGUUUAUAUUCUCUUCUCACUAAUCUUGCUUGACUUUUGAGGAACUUUUGAUUUUGAAAAUUCAGGUCUUUAAAAAAAAAAAACCCAAAACUCAAGAUUUUUUUCUUGUUUUCAAAAUCAUUAUUUCUCUGCUAUCUGCUACUUUUUUCUCUCCUUCAUGACAAUAUGUUCUUAGUUUUCUUUUUUUAGUAUAUCAUCUCAGGUCUUGCUAAAAUUGCCAAUUACUACUUGAUUCUUCCCCUCUAAGCCUUCUUUUUUCUGCAGUAGUGGCUUUCAUGUAGUUACUAUUUUUCAUUGCCGGAUGGGGGAAUGAGGAAGGGUUUCUCAGUGCUCAGUUGUUUUCUCUUUGUUGAGCUGUUUCAGCUAGUGAUGUUUCUGCCUACUCCCCUCCCCACCUUUUUUUUUUUUUUUUGAGAGAGAGAGAGAAUCUUAAGCAGGCUCCACACUCAGUGCAGAGCCGACAUGGGGCUUGAUCCCACAACUCCAGGAUGGUGACCUGAGCCGAAAUCAAGAGUCGGAUGCUCACCCAACUUAAGCACCCAGGUGUCCGGAGAUGAAUUCUUUAAGAAUGAACCAAUUUUUUUUUUCAGUUUUUUAGUUAAAAGGAGGUGAAAAGCUAAUGUAAUUUUUUCCUGACAGCUUAGAGAUAAUUUACUUAUGUCGAUAAAGGACAGAACUGUUAAACAGAGGAAGAUAGGCAUGGAUAGAGGAAGAUUUAUCUUUGUUCAGAAAUAAUUUUCUCUUUAUAUCUUUCUCAACAGCUGGUGCUAGCAACUCCCAGCUCGGCCCCUGGACCUAGCUCAAAACUCUGGAUUCAUUCUCUUCCUUCCCGUACCUCAGCCCGAGCUUUCUGUCUCCCCAAAGGGUACCACAUGAUCUUCCUCUCAAGUCCUCACUUCCUCGAAUCCCAAGGUAUGUAGGGAAGGAGUAGGCUGAAUUAUGUCCUUUACUUUCUUACGGCAUAAUAGAUGCUUAUUAUAUGUUAGUUAAAUGCAUGUCCCCUAGUGAAAUUCUUCCUUGAGAGUGGUGCUUGACAGUGAAUUAGCAUUUGUAUUCACUCUCCUCUCUCUGGACUCUAUCUUAGCAAACACGUUGCAGUAUGUGUAUGGAAUCUUUUUCUAGUUUCUUGUCAUUUUGUAGGUCUUUAUUGUAUUUUUUGGUUUGUGUUUCAGUGGGCAGUUGGAAGAAGGAAAUCAAACGGCUUAAGUUGCCACCUUGAUGCAGGAAACUCUCCAGGUUACUUGAAAGGGCCAGGCAUACUUUAUGCAAAUAGUAUUAUUUCAAGGCUUGAUGAGAUGUUGGUUAAGUCUUAUGAGGUAGUAAUAUGUAGAGAGAGGACAGUAGUUUCAGUGGCAGAUUUAAAAUCAGUAAUCUUUUUGGUAAGGUAAAGAUUGAACUGUAGUGAAAAGAGCAUUAGCUAGUAGGUUGGAAGAUUAUAAUUCCUCAUUCUUUUUUUUAUGUUUUCUGAUGUGUUCACAACACAAUACAUUUUUUUGCCCAUAGGUGGUAACCAUAUUGUAAUUUGCUACCAGGUGUCGUCUUUGAUUGCUUCCGCAUACUUAGGUUGAACAUAGUUGAAGACAAAUAGAUUUUCCCCAUUUCAAAUUUGAGGGUGAAAAACCCCAAACUACCUAAAAUACACAACCCCCCCCAAUGCUGUAUUGUACAUGCCAUACAUUAAAUAUGAAAAAAUAUUGAUACUCAGUAUUGAUUACUUAGCAGUUACUAAACUUAAGUAAAAGCUAAGUGGAUUUCUUAAUAAGGUGGUCCCUUUUAUUAAUUGUUUUGCCUAUGAGGAAAGGACGUGCACUUUAAUGGAUGGAAUUUGUGAACUCUGUUUUGGCUGCCAUGUAUCCCACUUAAUUAUUUUCUAUUCUUUGUGUCCUGGAACGGUGAGGUUGCUGAAAUGUCAACUCUGAACAAGCAAUGUAUUCAUGUAUAUGUCCUGCCUCUUCCUUUAGACUGUAAGCUGCAGUAGGGUAGAGACCAUGUUUUUGACUCUUUCCAUAGCACCCAGCAAAAUGCCUCACAAUCACAGUUGUUAUUUAUUAGUAAGUUUUGGUUGGUUGACUUGUUUAAAAUCCUAUUUUUAAACUGGUUGCCAGACUCUGGGGUAUGUGUUAUGUUAUAAGAAAAAUUUUAAAUUGUACAGAUAUUUUGAAAUGGAAUUGAUGAUAUUUAGAAAUCCUAUCAAUCUAUUUUUAGCAUUACCUAUAUAUUUUUGGACACAUGUACUGUUACCGCAAGAAACAAUUUGCCUUUUAUAAUAAAACCCACGAUAUAGUCUCCUCUUGAUUACAUGUAUAAUAGAAAGGCUUGAGUAUGGAUGGUCCAGAGUGACCAUAAUAUGAUAUUUAGGCAAAUGGGGAAGAACCAUUAUAGGUGUUCUUAAAAGUUUCACAUGUUUGAAUCUCACCCUUAGAUUCUGGUAUGGGGAAAACUCCAUAGGUGAUUAUGAUGCUGGUCACUGUUGAGAAUGUGACAGUCUGCAGGGAAUCUUCUCAGUUGGUGUGGAGUAUCCACCAGGUGUCGUGAACUUUCUUCUGGCCAUUUGUUAGUUUUUCUUACUUUCGAAGGAAAAGUUUUUACAUUUAGCUUUAAAUAAUAUAGUAAAUUUUUAGUAAAAAUUUUAAUAAUUUACUGAGUUAGACACAGUCUGUAAAAACAUUUAGGAAACCAGUGUGUGCUUUGGCAGCACUUAUACUAAAGUUAGAACAAUACAGAGAAGAUCAGCAUGGCCCCUGCGCAAGGAUGACACGCAGAUUCGUGAAGCGUUCCGUAUUUUGUGCAGUUCCCGAGUGUCCUACCACCCACGGCAGAUUAACUCUGAGGAAAUGAUAUGAGUCAGAGGAUGGUGUGUAGCACUGAAUAGUGAAAUUCUGAUUUUUCACUAUUAAAAAAAAAUUCAGUAGACUGGUACCCUACUAAUGAAUUAUCAGUUUAGUAUUUAUAUAUUUGAGACUACUAAAGAAUGUGUUUUUUAGACCCAACCAAAAUUACUAAGUGUGAGAAAUAUUAAGAGUCUCUUAAUAUGUAAUGUGAUGUAACUUUUAUCUAUGGUUUCUUAAUAAAGGACUUCUGAAAUAGUAAUGUUUCUUGUUACUUAGAUUAAUUGAAAACAUUUUUAAAGUUUUUAUUUAUUUGAUCUCUCUGCCCAGUGUGAGGCUUGAACUCACAACUUCGAGAUCAAGAGUUGCAUGCUCUUCCAACUAAAUCAGCCAGGUGCCCCUAGAUUAAUUGAAAUUUAAACCUGAGACCUUUGAAUAGACAUUAUGGGUGAAGCUCAAUGUGAUUUACACUUUAUUUUCUUUAGUUUAUCUAGUUUUCUGUUACUCACAAUAUAUAUUUAAGAUCACAAAAGUAAGAGAAGACAAUUUUUCCAGUACACAUUUUGCUAUUCUGCGGAACCUUCAGUAUUCAGAUUUCAAUCUCACCGAUGUAUUAUCACAUCUUACUAUUUUACUAUUUUUUAUUCCUUUGCAGUUUGACUCAUAAUGUGUCAUUCCAUGGUCAUCACAGUAGUGAUAGCUACAAUUUAUAUAGCACUUUACAGGAUACCGUUACAUAUAUUUUCUUAUUUAAUCUUUACAACAACCCUGUGAAAGGGGAAGUGCUAAUUUUUCUUUUUCACUUUAUAGAUGAAGAAACGAAGACAGAGAUUGAGACUUGUCUAGAGUAACACAAACCAGUAAGUGUUGGAAUUAAUGGAGGCAGGUAGUAAUGGGUGCCUUCUCCUAUGCCAGGGGCUUUCCUUGCUGCCAUGUACCUGGGUUCUAGGGACAAAGAGCCAAGAUGGUCAGGAACCAAAAAGGUAGUAGGUGGACUUAAUCGUACCCCAGCAAAAUGUGUUAUUCCUUCUCAUUUCUUUCUCUCUCUCUCUCUCUCUUUUUUUUUACACCAUUUAGUAGUGAUAACUUGAAAGAGCACAUAAUAUCUUUUUGUUGUUGUUGGAUAAGUGAAACUUAUUUUAAACAUAAGUUAUCCCUGAGGCACUAAGGAAGUAGAAAAUCUGGAGGGAAGUCUGUUGAAUUUCUCAGAGGGUAAUAGCUAUAGGGUCAGCUAAGGAAGGGAGAAAGUUACUAGUACAUGUGUGUAAUUGGAACUGAAAUUUUUAUGGCUCUCAUUAAGAUUUUUCAAAUCCUGUUUAAAGAUUGUAAUAUCAAUUUCAUAUAGCAAUCUUAGAGCUUAAGGGUGCUUAUCCACUUGUGGUUUUCUUUAGAUGACAGAACCGAGGUGCAGAGAAGUCGAAGCCUGCCUGGUGUCCCAGAGAGUGGCUGCAGGUAGAGCUUGUAGCUGCUGACUUCCUGAUUAGCGCCAUCUCUGCUUCCAACUCUUACCUCUUGGUAAGCUGUCCUUGAAGUACUCCACAGUCUUUUCUAUCUCUUUUUAUGUGUUUGAUCAACAUUGGCAUUUUGUAUCAAAAUGAACUUUAAAAUUCAUGAAAAUUACUGAUGCUUACGUGAUGAAAAUUAAAUUCUUUGUUUGAUUUCAGGUGAGUUAAUGUGGGAAAAAUCCUCGUAUUUUGAAGAUGUCUUGCAACAGUAUUGUUUCCUGUUUAAGUUACAAGUAACUUCAGUUUUUAGAGAAAAAAGAAAUUGGGUUUUUUUGUUAAAUCAUGCCAUCUGAACAGAAACAGUUAUUUUUUGAUGAAAAACAAACUAUUUUAAAAAAAGAUUAUGAUGUGAAAAAUGAGAUAGUUGAUACUAUUAGAUCAGUGCUUAGGCCAAAAAUUUCAGAAAGUCGUUUUCAUUAUGAACUAAAAAAUGUGAAAAUCGAUUUGCCGAAGAUAAAUAUUCCAAAUGAAGUCUUUUUGAAACAUGAAGUUGACAAAUACAGAAAGUUAUUUCAGCGUCAACCACAGACUGCAAGAAAAUCUAUCAGUAUAAAGACUGUAAGCUGUGUAGAGGAGUGUAUGCUGCUCCAGAAGUCUGAGAGAGUUGAAGAAGAGGGUUUAAAAAUGUCGGCAAAAAUACUCAAUUUCAACUGUUUAAAAUGCCGAGAUAGCACUCGAUAUAGCCCAAAUGAUUUACAGAAACACUUUCAGAUGUGGCAUCGUGGUGAAUUACCUUCAUAUCCUUGUGAAAUGUGCAGUUUUUCAGCAAAUGACUUCCAGAUAUUUAAACAACACAGACGGACACACAGAAGCACUUUAGUAAAAUGUGACAUUUGUAACAAUGAGAAUGUGUAUACUUUAUUAGACUUGACAAAGCAUUUUACAUCCACACAUUGUGUAAAUGGUAAUUUUCAAUGUGAAAAGUGCAAAUUCUCCACCCAGGAUGUUGGCACAUUUGUUCAGCACAUUCAUAGACAUAAUGAAAUCCAUUAUAAAUGUGGUAAAUGCCAUCAUAUAUGUUUUACCAAAGGAGAGCUUCAGAAGCACCUUCACAUUCAUUCUGGUACAUUUCCCUUCACUUGUCAAUAUUGUAGCUAUGGUGCCACUAAGAGAGAGCACCUCGUAAGACAUGUUAUAACUUUGCACAAAGAACACUUAUAUGCGAAAGAGAAACUGGAAAAAGACAAAUAUGAAAAAAGGAUGACAAAGACUUCAGGACUUAAGCUGAUACUGAAAAGAUACAGAAUAGAUGCAUCAAGGAAGACAUUCUGGAAACGCAAGAAGAUCAACAAUGGAAGCGAC
rnacentral:lncRNA from 1 species